rnacentral:lncRNA from 1 species
CCAGUUACCGAGGCCGUAUGUACGUGGUGGAGCGGGGAGAGUUCAGCAGCUGCCACGAGUGGCACGCGCAGAGGCCAAAUGUCCAGUCCAUCAGAAGAGUCAUCAACUACUACUAGCGAGGCGGUUGUAGUACUGGUGGUGUCCUGCUGCAAGCCGGGGGCUCUCCUCCCUUCCUGCUCACUGACAUGUGGAAUAAAUUCUUAAACAUCAGCUUCGGGCUCUAAGUAUUUUUUUUCCCCCUCACUUGCAUGACUCCAGGGGGAACUGUAACCUUUGUUAGCUUGAUUUCCACACUGUGAUUUUACUUUUUUAUCAUGCAGUAAUUUAUAAGGAGGACAGAAGGGUGACGUGACAGGCCUCCUCCCAGCAGGACACCAGAAGUGGUGGUGACAAGCAGCUCCAGGACACCUCCCAGUGUGCCCCCUUGCUGUGGUUCUGCUCUGGCAUGUGUUCGCUCUGCCCCAGGACUCUCAGUGCCUUGAGGAGGGUCACGUUAUGGCACGUGUGUUGCAGCAAAAAGGCGCUCCCAGCCCAUUUCCAUCUUCAGUUAUUUCAAUGCGCCCCAUCCCCAUUUGCCGCUUGGCAGCUCUUCCUUGUCUUCUGCGCAUGGCGGCGUGCCGGGAUGGUGCCGAGACGCUAG